rnacentral:rRNA from 1 species
GACGAACGCUGGCGGCGUGCUUAACACAUGCAAGUCGAACGGAAAGGCCCUGCUUUUGUGGGGUGCUCGAGUGGCGAACGGGUGAGUAACACGUGAGUAACCUGCCCUUGACUUUGGGAUAACUUCAGGAAACUGGGGCUAAUACCGGAUAGGAGCUCCUGCUGCAUGGUGGGGGUUGGAAAGUUUCGGCGGUUGGGGAUGGACUCGCGGCUUAUCAGCUUGUUGGUGGGGUAGUGGCUUACCAAGGCUUUGACGGGUAGCCGGCCUGAGAGGGUGACCGGCCACAUUGGGACUGAGAUACGGCCCAGACUCCUACGGGAGGUAGCAGUGGGGAAUAUUGCACAAUGGGCGGAAGCCUGAUGCAGCAACGCCGCGUGCGGGAUGACGGCCUUCGGGUUGUAAACCGCUUUCGCCUGUGACGAAGCGUGAGUGACGGUAAUGGGUAAAGAAGCACCAGCUAACUACGUG